GAGUCACCCAUGGCCUGCCCGUAUUGCCGCCCUGUCCCUGUGAGUCCUGGGCUGUGCCCUGCCCCAGGGCUCAUGGGGGCUGCCACCUGGGCCUGUUGCAUCCCUUGCCCAUGGCCCAUCCCCACGAGCCACCUCCCUCCACUGACAACCACACCACAGGUCGGCCCCGUCCUUGGGACAUGGGCUGCAACCUGGUCGGGUCGGCUGAAGAACUGGACGGAAGGGAUGGAAGAACCCCCGGAGGACCCCCACCCUGGACCACGUCCUUCCUGAUGGCCGCCUGGCGCCUCACGCCCACCCUGUGCCCGUCGCCACCUCCUGGUUUGGGCCGAAGCCGUCGUUCGGAAUCCUCAGUGGGAAGGGACCUCGGACGCGUGAUCCCAGCACCGUCCAGCUUUCCAAUCGUAAGUUUCUGGGGUGUGGGCAGCACAUCUGUGGUCUCGUCCCUGAAGGUAGGGAGCUGCCACCUGGAGCACACCGCCAGGCGAGCCUUGUGGGAGGGACUGGAGAACACUGGUCAGUGGUCCGCUUGUGGGGAGGUGGGUGCCCGGCGAGCCGAGCUCACUAUGUUCUAA
rnacentral:lncRNA from 1 species